rnacentral:sRNA from 1 species
UGUGUGUGUGUGUGUGUGUGUGUGUGUGUGUGUGUGUGUGUGUUCUCUCUAGAGCUGCCUCAACUCCUGUUAAGGCAAGGACAGUGUAUGCACAGGAUUGCACUGGAGCUGGGGUUCCAGGAAACAGUAAGUGGUCCCCUGUGAGGGCAACAGCUGAGCCGUCUCUGCAGCUCUUGAUCUGCCUUUCAAUGGAGCUCAACAGGUUGACUUUGAAAUUCAACAUUUCACAAGAACCUCUUGUCAUGAAUCCUUGUUUUAAGAAUAGUUCAAACAACACGUUUAUGUUGUUACUGCAUUUUUUUCAUGCCUGCCAUUGAGACCACAUACAGUGCCAUCUAACCAGAAAAAACAAUUUCAUUUUUCAUUAUAGUUCCUUUAUACAUAGAUUACAAGGCUAAACCAAUGUUAAAAGGUGGCUAUUUGACAAAAGCAACUAAGGAAAAAGGAGACCAUGAUUUUGGGAGGGAGCGAUGCGAAGGUUUACUGAAGAGGAAGGGGACAUUAUAUGGUCCUUUAACUUUUACAAAAGAUAAUAAAGCCCCAGAUGGUCUCUGGACACAUUCACCUUCUUAAUCCAGUCACUCAACGUGUCAGAGCCAUGAGAGUAGGACUGUGUGCUUUUACACUGCCAUAGAACUUACCAUUCCUUGGUUAUUUUACAAGUUAUAGCCUCCUACCUUUCAAACUAUUUACCAUAAGCAAAAGAUGUAUUGUUCUUGAUACAAAGACUUCUUUUUCUAAAUUUCUGAGUGUGAAAAAAGACUAGGAAAAGCCAAAUGAGUAUAUUACAUAAACUAGGGUACGAUUGGCCAAUAAUAAAAGUAAAAAGAAACUAUGUGGAAACUGCAGUCCAUCUUCAUUUGAAUUUAAUGCUGAUUUUUUUUUUUAAAAAAGCCUCUUGGAAGAAAUUAUUUUUGAAUAAUUCAGUAUUAAUACACUUAAGCAAAUGCAUGUUUCUGCCAGAAAAUCAAAAGAAAACUUCAAGGGAGAGGAAAACUUUUAUUUGUUCUUUCUACCGUACCUCAACUAUGACCUCACAUAACCUAAAAAGCUGCCUCAGAGGCUCUAGAGGGAAGAGCCCCCCAAUGUACCCAGACCAGUUGUUACUCUGAGCAUGAGAAGUCGUUUUCUUCCUGUUAUCAGAAGAGCUGGCGCUUGUGUGUCCAGCCCUCAAUAUGACUGCUUGUGCUUUGGGGACAAAGGGGUCUUUGCACUCUUAUUUAUGGCUUCUUCGUAUUUCCCUACAAUAACCCCAUUCAGAGAAAUAAGGGCAUAUUUGUUUUCGUCAUUCCAUGUAAGCGCGCUCUGAAAGGCAAGAUAACUGCUGGAAAAAUCUACACAGAUUACUGGAAUGCAGAGCUGAGCCGUUCUUUAAGGAACUUGUUGAGGCAGACUUCAGACCCCAGCGAGGGCCUCGUGGGGACCUGCAGUAGGACCAACUGGGGACUCCAGAGUGGACACUUCAUCCCUCAGGAGGCACCGGAGAUAUGGUUCUGCCAUUAAGAGCACUGGCUGUUCUUCCAGAGGACCCAGGUUCAAUUCCCAGCACCUAUAAGGCAGCUCACAAGCAUCUAUAACACCAGUUCCAGGGGAUCUUGUGUCCUCUUCCAGUCUCCACGGACAUUGGGCACACGUGUGGUAAACAGACCCCUGCGAACGAUCAAAGAUGGAGAAAUGAGCAGUCCUCAAGCAACAACGCCCUCCUAAUGCGCAAGCGCGCCCGGAGGCCCCGCCCCUCGCGGUCACCCCAAGACCAGGCGCGCGCAUCGGAAGUCAGAACCUCCAAGGCUCCUCCUUGCUCUUCCUCCACAAGGCCCCGCGUUCGCAGUCCGGUUCCGGUUGUAGCUCCGCCCUCGCGCGGGAACACGCCAGAAGGCUGGAUAUCCGGGACGGGAGGCUAGCUGAGCGCUCACUUCCGGUGGCAGCUCGUCCCAUCUCCCUUGAGGGGCAGGCUCUGGCUCUCGGUGCGGUAGCGCCAUCUGGCGCCGAGUGUUCCUCAGCCCGCGGAGGGGCGUGCUUCCUCCCUUCAGAACAUUCCAGAGACUCCUCGGCUCUGGUAGGCUUUAUGCAUUCCGCCAGAAGGGCGGGACCCAAGACUCCUCCUCUGCCGAGUUCCCGCGCGGGAAGGGUUUUGUGGUUACUCUGAGCGGAAAUGGUUGGAGUCCAGAAGGGGAACGGACCUCAAGCGGGAGGAAGCCGGCCUCUUUCCGUCUUUUCAAGCCAUAGUAACACAGUUCCUGCCUCCUCGUGUUCUGCUUUUUGUUUCCUCAUUUCUGGGCCGCGCUCUCUGUACACUGCGCUUCGGUUCUUCGGUCGGAGUGGACCGAGGUCCUCCAUUUCUCGUUUUGCAGAGAGAAGGCUUUACUUUGUAGCCUUUCGUUAGCUUGUGUUAGAAAAAUAUUUUGCUCCAUUACAUCCGUUAAGCGGGUGUUGCGAAAACGAGCAGUAUUAGGGAUUAGGAAAAUUAAUAGGUUUUUAAACCAAGACAGUCUCAGCAGGUUUAUCUCAGAACUAUGAAAUAUUCGCUAUGAUUGCAUGUGGUUCUUUCCUUUAGAUAAGGGGAAACGAAUUUCCACCAAAGCUAGAAAGUGAACAUAACUGUUAAAGGGUUCAUGUUUCAAAGUCCAGAUAUAAUAAACUUGGAGCACUGUUAGGUAUUGUUUCAGUUAUUGUGUAUCAAGACGCACAGUGUAAGUUAGUGAAUUGUCCCUUAUUUGUGCUCACUUGUCACUGGGCAUUUUCCCCCCCUACAGCACUGGUUUCCCUACUUGUGCAUGCAUUUGAAUUCAGAAGACUUUGAAGAGUCCGGUUCACUACAGUUUAGGACUGGGAGAGGUGAUGUGGAAGGAGAGCUGGGUGAUUAAGGCCCACAGUUGGAAUCGUUUAGAAUUCAAGAUUGCUUUGUUGAGAGCGCUGUUUGCUGGUUUUGCAGUAUUGACACUGAAACCCGACAGGUUAGUAGCCUUUCCGGCCAGUGCAAUGGGAGUAAACGAAGCGCUAAAUCCAUGUCUUUUGUACAGUCACACAUUAGGAAAACACGUUCAUAUAAGUAGACUCUGUCGUAGAGGGUGCUGUAACACCAGGUAUACUAAAUUUCUUAAUUACGAUGCCAUUUCUGUCUUCAAAGUUUCUUGAAAAUCGGUAACUCAAAAAAGGACAAAAAUCACUUCAACAGACAUUUAACCUCCUGGAAGAUAAUCUUUUAAAAAUCCCUUUCCUUUUGUAACUUCUUUGUAGUUCAUUCUUUUCACUGAGUCAUUGCCCCUUACCCCUACUAUGUAAUUUAAAAUCUUCACGCUGCUUUCGGUUUUUUUUUGUUUGUUUGGUUGGUUUUUUUUUGUUUUGUUUUGUUUUUUAAGAGCAAGCUUCCUGAAGCCUUUGUAUUCUGAGUUUGACAGUGGCAUUUGACCCUAAGCUAUCGGUAAAUGCCUUACUCUCGGUAACCCUUCCUUUUGUACCCAAUAGAAAUACAGCUGUUCAUAGAUAGGCUUGCCGUGUUCGUAGCUAAAGUUAUUCCUAAAAGUAAUUUUUUAAUACUAAAAAGUUAAGUUGUUUACUGAAGUUGUGAGUGAUUACUAUAAAGAUUAUAUUGCCUUUAAUUACAAGAUAGUGUAUCUAACUGUGAAGAUAAGUGAAAUGGUAUUUUUAUAAUGACUCAGUAAGACUUCCAUUACCAGGCACUAGUGAGAUGGCUCGGGGGUUAAGUCUGGCUCCAGGCAUGCACACGGUACACAGACAUACAUAAAAUAAUAAUACACAUAAACUGCGUAUACAAAAAUAAUAAUAAAUAAAAUAGGAUAUUCUAACUCCAUUGUUUUUAGUGAUUAAACAUGAGAAAAUUCCAAAUCAGAGAUCCCUCCCCGCCUUCCUCCCUCUCCCUCCUUUUUAAUCCUUCUCUCUCUUCUUCCUCACUAACCUGAAUGAGUUUCCAUUUAAAGGGACAUAGGGAGGUAGCAGGGUGCCUUCAAAUAACUGUUAACAAGUAUUUAUACUAAUGAGACAAAAGCACACAUCCUCCUCUUCAUUUUAAACCAGCCUUGUAGUAAAAAAGGAACCCGUGUGUGUUCAUUACUUGCUCCUAUGUGCACACGUGUGUGUCACUUGCUGUGUUUAAAGAGCUUAAUACAUUUGCUGGCUGGUACUUCUCUACGAUGGCUGCGCCAUUGCCAUUUAUCCAGAGUAAUUUUGUCAAUAGGCAUUACAUGAAAUGAUGUUGAAAUUUACUUUCAAUAUUGUUUGGUAAUACUUGACACAAAAAAUCAGGGCUUCUUCAUCAGGCUUUUUUUGAACUGAAAUUUCUAGGCUAGGUCAGGUGGAGCACAUCUGCAGUCUGAGCCCUCAGGAGAUGCAGGGGAUCCAGUUUCCAAAAGCAGUUUUAAAAAGUAAUUUCUAUUACUAAUUUCUUUGUGGUUCCAUUUUCUUUAGUUCAUGCUUCUUAAAUUUUCUGAUAUAUAAAUGAAUGUGUAAUGAAUAUCUGUACAAAAAAGCAUUUUUUAAAGGAAAAAAAAGAGAAAAGCAUAUUCACGAAUGUUUUAAUGAUUCUUUGCUACAGUCAGUGUGCUGUGUAGCUGUUUAAAUUUUCCUUUUCGGGGCAAUGCCUGCAUUUGUGCGUGACUCACAGCAUGCACCAACUUUUUUCCCUGAAAUUCUCAUCAUUUUUCUUGUUACUUCCAGUGGACUCUGCAGACUUCACACUGUCUAAUAAUGUGUUCUCAGACUCUCUAGUCUUUUGUCUUGGUCCAUUUUAAAAUCUCAUCGAAGUUGUCGUUUCAAGCUGGUUUUUGGAAAUAAAUUAGAAUUAAUACUGCUGAGUUCAUCUUAAUGGCUCAUAUUCCCCUGUGGUGAAUUAAAUUUAUUGUUGCGUUUUCAGAAUGAUUUUUCUUACUCAUGAUCAGUAGGAGACCAUACGCUGAGUUACCUGAUCUAAUUGGGCUUAGGAGUAAAGUACAGCCUUUUUAGGGGGAGGUGUGGAGGCCAGCCUUGAACCUGUGAUUCUGCUGUCUCAGCCUCUUGAAUGCUGGGAUUCCAGGCCUGUGCCCACAAAGUGAGAACACUGAGGCAGAUGGUACAGUUUUCUGUUUGGUGAUUAUUACAUUUUAAGAUUUCCAAACUUUAUAUGGAAAAAUUAUCACAUGUAUUUUAUAAAGUAUUAAACUGUAUCCCUCUGCUAGAUUCAGCAGUGGCACAUGCAAGGCUGCCAUAGUCUAAUUCCCAGAGCUGUGACAAACAUCAUAACAGAAGCAGCUUGGGGAGGAGAGGGUCUAUUUUAUCUCACACUUCUCUGUCGCUCCUUGAACCAUCAUUAGACCCAUGCAUGUGUAGGUAACAGUUAACCACAUUAAACUCCACAGGAGCCCAGGAGAUGACUCAGUGGUUAAUUCACAAGGACUGGAGCUUGGAUCCUCAGGCCCCGCAUAGAGGCUGUGGGCGUGGUGACCCACCUGCAGUUCUAGCCUGGGAAGGUGAAGAACGGACCUCAAAACAAGUUGUCUAGGGAGUCCAGCCAUUCAGUGAACUCUGUCUUGGACUGAGAGAUCUGCCUUACUGAACAAGGAAGAAGAAUGAAGAGUACACCCACAUACACACUCACACAUGUGCUUACACACAGAUAGAUGUGUGUAUGCACACAUGCAAAGUACACAUAAUAAAAAUGGGAAAAUACACAGUUCAUCUCUUACAGAUGGGCAAUCAGAGUAGAGUGAAAAAUUACCCAUCAUGGAGGGCCAAUGAAUAAACGACCACAGAUAGAAACUUAAUGGGGACCCUGAAAGAAGAGAGAGAGAAGUAGGACUUUGAAGACAUGAUGAUCAUUAAAACUUCUGGAGCAUAUACUAAAUCUGUUUCUACAUCUUUGGCCUUAACCAAUGAGAAGAGAAUCACACUCACUCUAGCAGGGGCAGUGUGAAGUGUAAGGAAACCUUUGCAACAUCUGUGAGUUACGUUACAGCGUUAAAGCCAGAGAUAAGCCAUCAACUUGCUUCUGCUAACAGCAAUGCUUACGAGAUAUAAUGGCCUUCAGAUUCCUUCACAGCAUUAGUGAAAUUCUGUGGGAAAUCAUGAGAAAUUGUUUCAAAUUGUCAAAAACCACUCCAAAUUUAGCAGUACUUUAAAUAUCCAAAACAUCAAUGUUUUGAGGAGAAAGGGAAUAAAUUUUCUAUAAGCUGUAUUAGACAUUGAACCAUACAAUAUUUUGCUUUGUUUCCUUUGAGAAAAUGUCUUACUGUUGUAGCCCAGGCUGGCCCAAGCUCCAGAGUCUUCUGCCUCUACCUAGAGAAUGCUGAUAUGGUAGAUUUACAUCCAUCAUCUUCUGGCUUGGAACUUUACUGUCCUAAAACGUUUUAAUUAGCCAUUAAAUGCACGUUGUUUUUUGUGGUACAA